AUUUUGCAAGAAUUUAUCCAUAUUAAAUUUGUCAAAUCUAGAUUACAAAAAAAAAAAAAAAAUCCCCACCAAAUUUUGUAAUUAUAAAUGUAAAAAUAUUAUGAAGUAUUGAUAGUUACUACAAUCUAGUAGACAUUAAAAAAUCAUAACACCAAAGUUAAAACAUUUUCUCUGGCGAUAUGCAUCCCGGGCUAUUGGUAUUGCCGAAAAUCUACGACGUCGGAACAUAAACGUGGACCCGUAUUGUUCGCGAUGUUGCACGGAGCUGGAAACAAAUGACCAUACAAUCUUCUCAUGUCCUCGGGUUGAAAUGAUAUGGAGAGCUGCAGGCUUUCAAACUUCCCAAUUAUGUGACAAUGGAAUACCACCGGAAGAGAAGUUGCGUAUCAUCUUUCAAAUGCAUAAUGAUUCAAGGGUGGAUCGAGUU
rnacentral:sRNA from 1 species